rnacentral:rRNA from 1 species
UACGAAGGGGGCUAGCGUUGUUCGGAAUCACUGGGCGUAAAGCGCACGUAGGUGGACCUUCAAGUCAGGGGUGAAAUCCCGGGGCUCAACCUCGGAACUGCCUUUGAUACUGUUGGUCUUGAGUCCGGAAGAGGUGAGUGGAAUUCCUAGUGUAGAGGUGAAAUUCGUAGAUAUUCGGAGGAACACCAGUGGCGAAGGCGGCUCACUGGUCCAUUACUGACGCUGAGGUGCGAAAGCGUGGGGAGCAAACAGG